rnacentral:rRNA from 1 species
CAGUCGCCACGGGAAUACGGAGGGUGCAAGCGUUAAUCGGAAUUACUGGGCGUAAAGCGCACGCAGGCGGUCUGACAAGUCGGAUGUGAAAUCCCUGAGCUUAACUUAGGAAUUGCAUUCGAUACUGGGAAGCUAGAGUAUGGGAGAGGAUGGUAGAAUUCCAGGUGUAGCGGUGAAAUGCGUAGAGAUCUGGAGGAAUACCGAUGGCGAAGGCAGCCAUCUGGCCUAAUACUGACGCUGAGGUACGAAAGCAUGGGGAGCAAACAGGAUUAGAUACCCCCGUAGUCCCUGUCUCUUAUAA